rnacentral:rRNA from 2 species
GAUCCCUUCCCGAACUCAGAAGUGAAACCUCUUAGCGCUGAUGGUAGUGUGGGAUUACCCAUGUGAGAGUAAGUCAUCGCCAGCU